CGUUGUCCGGAAUUAUUGGGCGUAAAGAGCUUGUAGGCGGUUUGUCGCGUCUGCUGUGAAAAUCCGGGGCUCAACCCCGGACUUGCAGUGGGUACGGGCAGACUAGAGUGUGGUAGGGGAGACUGGAAUUCCUGGUGUAGCGGUGAAAUGCGCAGAUAUCUGGAGGAACACCGGUGGCGAAGGCGGCAUCCUGGACCAACACUGACGCUGAGGAGCGAAAGCCAGGGGAGCAAACGGG
rnacentral:rRNA from 1 species